CAGAACUGAUGGAUUCAUUGAUCCUUCCAGUAGAAGUGGCAGUGCUUAAAGUGAAUGCCCACGGGAGAUUGCCUCGUGCUUCUUCUGAAUUCAACCGCUUGGCUGAUCAAGCCGCCAAAGAAGCAGCACGACAAGAAUGGGAAUUGGACAGAAGAGUGGCUAUUGAGACCACACCCAUUUAUACUAUGCAAACCUUGCCUACAGACCUGAGGCUCCUGAAGGAGCAACAAGCUGCUGCAACCCCCCCAAGAGAAACAGAGCUGGAAGAGCAGAGGGGCCAUUCUCUGAAAUGAUGUUUGCACUAUCAAUCUUAAGUUCUGUCUACCCAAGAAUAUGUAUCCAGUUGUUGUCCAGUGGGCCCAUGGGCCUGCCCAUCUGUCAAAACAUCUGAUGAAUUCUUUGAAUGAUAAGUAUUUUGAAGCACCAGGUAUCACUACCCUGACACAGAACUAUUGUAAAUCUUGUGCAAUUUGUGCUAAAUGUAACCCCGGGAAAAUUAUCAAAACCGCACCGACUGCUUGGCUAAACCGCAGUACCCUUUCCAGAGAAUACAGAUUGACCACAUACAGAUGCCGAAAAGUGGACGUUAUGAAUACGCAUUAGUCAUUGUGGACAUGUUUUCAGGAUGGCCAGAAGCUUUCCCAGUGGCCAAUCUCACUGCAAGGACCACGGCCAAGCAUCUUCUGAUGGAAAUUGUCUGCCGGUAUGCAGGGACGUAUUAGCCGCGAGGCAAACAAGGCAUUUGCCUUGGG